AUUGAACGCUGGCGGCAUGCCUUACACAUGCAAGUCGAACGGUAACGGGCCUUCGGGUGCCGACGAGUGGCGAACGGGUGAGUAAUACAUCGGAACGUACCCGAUCGUGGGGGAUAACGAGGCGAAAGCUUUGCUAAUACCGCAUACGAUCUACGGAUGAAAGCAGGGGACCGCAAGGCCUUGCGCGGACGGAGCGGCCGAUGGCAGAUUAGGUAGUUGGUGGGAUAAAAGCUUACCAAGCCGACGAUCUGUAGCUGGUCUGAGAGGAUGAUCAGCCACACUGGGACUGAGACACGGCCCAGACUCCUACGGGAGGCAGCAGUGGGGAAUUUUGGACAAUGGGCGCAAGCCUGAUCCAGCCAUGCCGCGUGCAGGAUGAAGGCCUUCGGGUUGUAAACUGCUUUUGUACGGAACGAAAAGCCUUCUUUUAAUACAGGAGGGUCAUGACGGUACCGUAAGAAUAAGCACCGGCUAACUACGUG
rnacentral:rRNA from 1 species